AUUGAACGCUGGCGGCAGGCCUAACACAUGCCAGUCGAGCGGAUGAAGGGAGCUUGCUCCUGGAUUCAGCGGCGGACGGGUGAGUAAUGCCUAGGAAUCUGCCUGGUAGUGGGGGAUAACGUCCGGAAACGGGCGCUAAUACCGCAUACGUCCUGAGGGAGAAAGUGGGGGAUCUUCGGACCUCACGCUAUCAGAUGAGCCUAGGUCGGAUUAGCUAGUUGGUGGGGUAAAGGCCUACCAAGGCGACGAUCCGUAACUGGUCUGAGAGGAUGAUCAGUCACACUGGAACUGAGACACAGUCCAGACUCCUACGGGAGGCAGCAGUGGGGAAUAUUGGACAAUGGGCGAAAGCCUGAUCCAGCCAUGCCGCGUGUGUGAAGAAGGUCUUCGGAUUGUAAAGCACUUUAAGUUGGGAGGAAGGGCAGUAAGUUAAUACCUUGCUGUUUUGACGUUACCAACAGAAUAAGCACCGGCCAACUUCGUG
rnacentral:rRNA from 1 species